rnacentral:lncRNA from 10 species
UUUCCAUCCACUUCAGAAAAAAAAUGUGUAUACCUUUUUAUUUCUUUUUUUCUUUUCUUUCCGUUUUUUUUUUUUUUUUUUUUUUUUUUUAGACGGGCUGGAGUGCAGUCACAGCUCACUGCACCUUUGAGCUCCUGGGCUAAAGUAAUCUUCCUUUCUCAGCCUCUUGAGUAGUUAGAACUAAGACAUGCACCACCAUGUCUGGCUAAUUUUUAACAUUUUUUUUGUGGAGAUGGAGUCUCGCUAUGUUGCCCAGGCUGGUCUUGAACUUCUGGCCACAUGCUAUCCUCUCACCUCGACCCCCCAAAGCACUUGGAUUAUUGGCUCAAGUACUUAGAUGUAUUAACCAGGAUCACAGAGAGCUUGAUUUUAGAUCAUGAAAAUUUUAACUGGGUAACUGAAGAAGAAUUGUCCCAAGGACUUGAAUAAAUGUUAAUGUUCAUAACAGUAUGUUCUAA